UACGUAGGGUGCAAGCGUUAAUCGGAAUUACUGGGCGUAAAGCGUGCGCAGGCGGCUUUGCAAGACAGAUGUGAAAUCCCCGGGCUUAACCUGGGAACUGCAUUUGUGACUGCAUCGCUAGAGUACGGUAGAGGGGGAUGGAAUUCCGCGUGUAGCAGUGAAAUGCGUAGAUAUGCGGAGGAACACCGAUGGCGAAGGCAAUCCCCUGGACCUGUACUGACGCUCAUGCACGAAAGCGUGGGGAGCAAACAGG
rnacentral:rRNA from 1 species